GAUGAACGCUGGCGGCGUGCCUAAUACAUGCAAGUCGAGCGAACGGACGAUAAGCUUUCUUUUCUGAUGUUAGCGGCGGACGGGUGAGUAACACGUGGAUAACCUACCUAUAAGACUGGGAGAACUUCGGGAAACCGGAUCUAAUACCGGAGAAUAUUUUGAACCGCAUGGUUCAAGAGUUAAAGACGGUCUUCCUGUCACUUAUAGAUGGAUCCGCGCUGCAUUGUCUAGUUGGUAAGGGAACGGCUUACCAAGGCAACGAUGCCUAGCCGACCUGAGAGGGUGAUCGGCCCACAUGGAACUGAGACCAGGUCCCGACUCCCACGGGAGGCAGCAGUAGGGAAUCUUCCGCAAUGGGCGACAGCCUGACGGAGCACAGACGCGUGAGUGAUGAAGGUCUUCCGAUCGGAAAACUCUGUUAUUAGGGAAGAACAUAUGUGUAAGUAACUGUGCACAUCUUGACGGUAACUAAUAAGAAAGCCACGGCUAACUACGUG
rnacentral:rRNA from 1 species